CCUGGCUCAGGAUGAAACGCUAGCGGCAGGCCUAAUACAUGCAAGUCGAACGGGGAUCUACUGGUAAGCUUGCUUAUUGGUAGUGAGAGUGGCGCACGGGUGCGUAACGCGUGAGCAACCUACCCUUGUCAGGGGGAUAGCCCGGCGAAAGUCGGAUUAAUACCGCAUGAUAUCAUUGAGAGGCAUCUUUCGAUGAUCAAAGAUUUAUCGGACAAGGAUGGGCUCGCGUGACAUUAGCUAGUUGGUAAGGUAACGGCUUACCAAGGCUACGAUGUCUAGGGGCUCUGAGAGGAGAAUCCCCCACACUGGUACUGAGACACGGACCAGACUCCUACGGGAGGCAGCAGUAAGGAAUAUUGGUCAAUGGACGGAAGUCUGAACCAGCCAUGCCGCGUGCAGGAGGACGGCCCUAUGGGUUGUAAACUGCUUUUAUACGGGAACAAACGUCGGUACGUGUACCGGUCUGAGUGUACCGUAAGAAUAAGGAUCGGCUAACUCCGUG
rnacentral:rRNA from 1 species